AGUCGGGUCCUAUACAACGACAGACUUUGUGAACCCCGCCAGGUCCGGAAGGAAGCAACGGUAGCAGAGACUUCGUGUGAUAUAGGUCGCCCGGCUACA
rnacentral:SRP_RNA from 1 species